AAAACCUGAAGGAGCCUUUCUGGCUGGCAGUAAAACAGCUUGUCAGGAGAGAUCAACAGAUCAUGGUGAGACUUUCUAUGAUGUUAAGAGCGAAGUGAUUUCCAGUGGCCAUAUCACCCUUGAAGAAUACUGGACAGCAUUUUAGGAGAAAAAGAUUAUUGUGUCACAGCAACCAGAAAAUAAGUGGGUAGUGAGAGUGAUCAAGGCUCAUCUGGAUAUUAAGGCUGUUGUUGUCAGUGACCUACAGCAACCUGCUCAUGUCUGCAAUUUUUCAACAGUUGACCUUGUCAUCCACAAGCAGCCUUGUCUCCCUCAUAUCUGACUUGUUCCUCUUCACUUCUGGGCAACACAGUCUCCAGGUAACCCUGCCAUUUCCAGGACGAGAGUACCAGGAGCUGGAGAUCCAGCCCCUCAGACUUGUGGAUGAAAGACCCAGUUGCAGUCUGUAGACACUGCAGACAGCCCCUGCUCUCAAAGACAGGACACCCAAGAAGAUUUUGGAACACUGUGAGAAGCCUAUAACAUGAAUAACUGAGAAAGAAACCUUGGAGACUUAAGCUUCUGUUUCUCUCAAAACUGAAUUUCACAUGCUAUGUUUUUGGUGGUUUUUCAUGCUGUUUUUUGGGAGGGUGGAGGAGGGGAGUGGAGGUGAAUUACAAUAUUAUUGUCAAGCGAGUUGCUAUAGGUUUGAAAACACUGGCACUCUUUUAUGUUAAUGUACAGGAUUUUAAACUGCUGGUAGUAAUAACUUGACCUCUUUAGGUCCAGUAAAACUUAUCACAGCCAUGUGAAUACAUUUUCCCCAGAAAAUCUCAGGAUUAAUACAAAAGUUUUUCAUAAUUUUUAAGGAAGUGGCUUCUAGAAUAGAAAGAGUGAUGAGAGUGCUUAGCUGAGAUGUGAAGAAAUUCAGGAUUGUCUUGUUUUCGAACCAAAUUAUUGCAAAUGUUGUUAGCUGUAAUCUGAAAGUGUGUAUGUAGAGUAUAUUUAUACAAUUCCAAUGGCUAUUCAAUCUUUGAUAUUCACUAUCACAGCAUGAUUCAGAAAACUUAACUCUUGGUCUUAAGUGCGUCUUAGUAGAAAAGUGAGUUUGUCUUACAUGCUUUACAAGGUGCUAUCUGGUCUGGAUCUUCAGCCAGAUUGUUUGUUGCACUAAAAUUCAUUUAAUCUCCUAAUGUAAACCCAACCCACUCGCUUAUCUGCACUGCUCUGUGAACCUCAGGCAUGUAAAACACUCACAAAAUGAGAUAUAUGAAACGGCCUUGCCUAACUUCAAGGUUUGAUUUGAGGCUAUCAACACCAGGGACUUCAAGCUACUGUGACAAAAAUGUAAGGAAUGUUCUGUCACAGAAUGCUAAUUCUAUUGGCAGUCCUGACUGACGGACAUCAGAAAGCCCUCAUGUCUCAUAUUUAUACUUCCUAACCUUGUGUGUGCUUUUUAUCCUUAGAAAAUGCAGUAUCUCAUGAUCCU
ensembl:lncRNA